UCUACGGGAGGCAGCAGUCGGGAAUAUUGCGCAAUGGAGGAAACUCUGACGCAGUGACGCCGCGUGCAGGAAGAAGGUUUUCGGAUUGUAAACUGCUUUAGACAGGGAAGAAACAAGACAGUACCUGUAAAAUAAGCUCCGGCUAACUACGUGCCAGCAGCCGCGGUAAUACGUAGGGGGCAAGCGUUAUCCGGAAUCACUGGGUGUAAAGGGAGCGUAGACGGCUGAGCAAGCCUGAAGUGAAAGGCGGGGGCCCAACCCCCGGACUGCUUUGGGAACUGUACGGCUGGAGUGCAGGAGAGGUAAGUGGAAUUCCUAGUGUAGCGGUGAAAUGCGUAGAUAUUAGGAGGAACACCAGUGGCGAAGGCGGCUUACUGGACUGUAACUGACGUUGAGGCUCGAAAGCGUGGGGAGCAAACAGGAUUAGAUACCCGAGUAGUC
rnacentral:rRNA from 1 species